rnacentral:rRNA from 1 species
UGUGGUUAGCGGUGAAAUGCCAAUCGAACUCGGAGAUAGCUGGUUCUCCUCGAAACAGUUUUAGGACUGGCGUCAUGUGGUAGCAGUCGGGGGUAGAGCUCUGUAAAGGACUGGGGGGAGCAAUCCUACCCACCCUUAACAAACUACGAAUACCGGCUGUGGAAUCAUGGCAGUUAGAACGGCGGAGCUAAGUUCGUCGCUCAAAAGGGAAACAGCCCAGACCAUCGUCUAAGGUCCCUAAAUUUACGUUAAGUGGGAAACAAGGUGAGAUUUCUUAAACAGCUAGGAUGUUGGCUUAGAAGCAGCCAUUCAUUUAAAGAGUGCGUAACAGCUCACUAGUCAAGAGAUCUUGCGUGGAAAAUGUAACGGGGCUAAACGUAAUACCGAAGACAUGGGUCUAUGCAUUAGCAUGGGCGGUAGAGGAGCGUUCCUAUCGGCAGUGAAGCAGUAUUGUAAAGUGCUGUGGAGCGGUAGGAAGUGAGAAUGCUGGAAUGAGUAACCAUAAGAGAGGUGAGAAUCCUCUCGGCCGUAAGAGCAAGGUUUCCUGAGCUAUGGUAAUCAUCUCAGGGUUAGUCGGGCCUAAGCCGAGGCGCAUAGCGUAGGCGAUGGACAUCAGGUUGAUAUUCCUGAACCGGCGUAGUUUGUACACUGUUCACGGAGAGAUAUUCAGAGCGGAUUCAUGGUUUAUCCGUCCAACCUAGCGGGAACGCAAAGGGAGUGAAAGUUACUCUGCGGAGUGAUGAUUCUGGAAAAGGCUCUGGCUAGAAAAGCAGGUGUACGCGUGGCUAUGUCCGCCCGUACCGCAAACCAACACAGGUGCUCGAGUCGAGUAGACUCAGGCUUACGAGAGAACCUUCGCUAAGGAACUCGGCAAUACAGCGACCGUAACUUCGGAAUAAGGUCUGCCCCCACUUCGGUGGAUAUGUUGUCAGUUUCAUAGCUCUAUAAGGUGUGGUUAAAGAGUAUCUUUAAUACAUCAAUUCUUCUUGAGAUAGAACCAAGCUUUGGAACUGAAGCUCAACACAUCUAGCGAUGUGGGGGCCGCAGCAAAAGAGCCCACGGAACUGUUUAUCAAAAACACAGCUCUCUGCUAACACGAAAGUGGAUGUAUAGGGGGUGACUCCUGCCCGGUGCUGGAAGGUUAAGGGGAGUGCUUUACGGUGCGAACUGAAGCCCCAGUGAACGGCGGCGGUAACUAUAACCGUCCUAAGGUAGCGAAAUUCCUUGUCAGGUAAGUUCUGACCCGCACGAAUGGAGUAAUCAUGUGGGCACUGUCUCAGCGAAGGACUCGGUGAAAGUGCAUUGGCGGUAAAGAUGCCGUCUGUCCAUACCAGGACGAGAAGACCCCAUGGAGCUUUACUACAGCUUUACAUUGAAUACGGUUUCAACAUGUGUAGCAUAGGUGGGAGACUUUGAAGCAGAUACGCCAGUAUUUGUGGAGUUACCAAGUGAAAUACCACCCUUGUUGUGAUUGUGUUCUCACGCUGACCGUUAUCCGGUUAGCGGACCGUGUAUGGUGGGUAGUUUAACUGGGGCGGUUGCCUCCUAAAGAGUAGCGG